GAUGAAGAACGUAGCGAAAUGCGAUAAGUAAUGUGAAUUGCAGAAUUCAGUGAAUCAUCGAAUCUUUGAACGCACAUUGCGCCCAUUAGCAUUCUAGUGGGCAUGCCUGUUCGAGCGUCAUUUCAACCCUUAAGCCCUGUUGCUUAGCGUUGGGAGCCUACAGUACUGUAGCUCCCCAAAGUUAGUGGCGGAGUCGGUUUCACACUCUAGACGUAGUAAUUUUUUCUCGUCUGUAGUUGAGCCGGUCCCCUGCCGUAAAACACCCAAUUUAUCACGGUUGACCUCGGAUCAGGUAGGAAUACCCGCUGAACUUAAGCAUAUCAAUAAGCGGAGGA
rnacentral:misc_RNA from 1 species